rnacentral:rRNA from 1 species
UAGGGAAUCUUCCGCAAUGGGCGAAAGCCUGACGGAGCAACGCCGCGUGAGUGAUGAAGGUCUUCGGAUCGUAAAACUCUGUUAUUAGGGAAGAACAAAUGUGUAAGUAACUAUGCACGUCUUGACGGUACCUAAUCAGAAAGCCACGGCUAACUACGUGCCAGCAGCCGCGGUAAUACGUAGGUGGCAAGCGUUAUCCGGAAUUAUUGGGCGUAAAGCGCACGUAGGCGGUUUUUUAAGUCUGAUGUGAAAGCCCACGGCUCAACCGUGGAGGGUCAUUGGAAACUGGAAAACUUGAGUGCAGAAGAGGAAAGUGGAAUUCCAUGUGUAGCGGUGAAAUGCGCAGAGAUAUGGAGGAACACCAGUGGCGAAGGCGACUUUCUGGUCUGUAACUGACGCUGAUGUGCGAAAGCGUGGGGAUCAAACAGG